AUGUUGGGGCUCCUAUUUUUUGUUGCUGCUUUGAUGAUCACCCUUGGAGAAAUUGAAGUCCAACAGCAGAUAGGAAAAAGCAGCACAAAGGGAAUAGCAACAGAUGGUCUCUGUAUCUUCCCCUCCUACUCAUCCAGAGCUCUCAAGGCUGCAUUCCUAAUCAACCAAAAGCAGGCAUCCCACACCCGUGCCGAGAGGAAUAACCUGAGCGUGCAAAUUCUGCUUUGAAUUAAACGUUACAGGCAUGUGCCCUAUACUGUCAGGUAAUAAGGAAUGGAAAAUCAAACGACUAAUUCAGUUAUAAUUCCGUCCGUCUACCCUAAUGCCCCGUUACUGGGAUUCCAAUACCACAAACCAAAUUCUCAUUAAGCACUAAUGAUGAUGAUCAUAGUUCUUAACUCUUUAUAGCAUGUUGUUGUCAGCAAUUGCAUACAGCCAUAAGUUGGGAUCUUUAUUUAUUAAAAAUACGUUCCCUUUUAUGGGCGCCAGUUACUUGAGUGUGGAGUGAAAGUAAAUGAGGCUGUAGCAGGCACUGCAGCUAUAGUUACUCCUUCUCCCAUUAUUGCAAGUUAUUAUAAGCUUGUAUGAUUGAAACUGCUCUAGAUAAACACGCAAUAAUAUUUUCUCUGUCACCAUGAUCACUGACUGAGAUAAGGGCUUGAUGUUCUAUUUUCGUUCGGGAUGGAGAAAAACAAGGAGGGGAAAACUGGGGGGGAAAGGGCUCCAAUGUCGUGCAAUGAGAUGCAAGGGGGAAAAAAAAACUUCCCCGCCGAAAGCGGGCCCACACGUACGUCAACGAUGACACGCAGCGCUGAGAGGAUUUAGUGUUAAAGGGACGCCUGCUAAUUUUAUUUGCAACGGAGCCGAGAAAGCAUGCCCGCUCAAGAUCCUUGUUGUAUCAUUUUGAAAUCAAGGCCAUCUUUUUCUCGGUGGUAAACGUGCAAUGUUUUUAAAGGCCAGACUUAGCAUAAAAAUCUAUCGGUUGCUAUGGCGACCACUUACCACACAGGACUGCACUCUGUGUUCGACUCUGUGAUUUUCUCUAUUCAAAGGUUCGGCAUUGUCAAAAACCAAAUUAGUUUUCCAGUUGUUUAUCGCAAAGUUCAUUAUGGAAAAGGUAAUAAAUAACAAGGUAUUUUAGUCGUGUGUGGAUAG
rnacentral:lncRNA from 1 species